rnacentral:rRNA from 1 species
UACGUAGGGGGCUAGCGUUACUCGGAAUGACUGGGCGUAAAGGGCGCGUAGGCGGUUUGCUUAGUUAGGCGUGAAAUUCCUGGGCUCAACCUGGGGGCUGCGCUUAAUACAGGCAGACUAGAGUGUGAAAGAGGGUCGUGGAAUUUCCAGUGUAGAGGUGAAAUUCGUAGAUAUUGGAAAGAACACCGGUGGCGAAGGCGGCGACCUGGUUCAUUACUGACACUGAGGCGCGAAAGCGUGGGGAGCAAACAGG